rnacentral:miRNA from 1 species
UCCCUCACGUGGUGUUUGCAGC